AAACAGCAUUUGAAAUAAAUUAAUCACAAUUGUCACCUUCUGCAAACUCUUCCUUACGCUUCCUGUAAUUAUCACUUUUGUCUGUUUCUCCUGGCCGGCAAGACAUUUUUGGCAAAUCACUUGGUACGACGCCUUCUUCUCCAACCUGCUUUCGCUCUGCUGGAGAACACGAUGUGAUCACUUGUGAUGCAUCACGUUCAUCCAUGACCUCAUCUUCCAUUUUUGCAACCCUGUAUUUGUUUCCGUAAACAAUAUCAACAGCCCAAAUCACUGUGUUGUCCAAGAAUUAUAGACCCUAUUUUCCUAGAAUUCAACUAGCCAAAAAAAAAAAAAAAGCAA